GGUUUCCGUAGGUGAACCUGCGGAAGGAUCAUUAUUGAAAUAAACCUGAUAAGYUGCUGCUGGUUCUCUAGGGAGCAUGUGCACACUUGUCAUCUUUGUAUCUUCACCUGUGCACCUUUUGUAGACCUGAAUAUCUCUCUGAAUGCUCAGGAUUGAGGAUUGACUUGCUGUCUUUUCUUACAUUUUCAGGUCUAUGUUGUUUCAUAUACCCUAAUGUAUGUGGAUAGAAUGUAAUUAGUAGGCCUUUGUGUCUAUAAAUCUAUACAACUUUCAGCAACGGAUCUCUUGGCUCUCGCAUCGAUGAAGAACGCAGCGAAAUGCGAUAAGUAAUGUGAAUUGCAGAAUUCAGUGAAUCAUCGAAUCUUUGAACGCACCUUGCGCUCCUUGGUAUUCCGAGGAGCAUGCCUGUUUGAGUGUCAUUAAUAUUGAUCAACCUCUUUGGUUGGAUCUGGGUUUGCUGGCCCUUGAGGUCAGCUUUCCUUAAAUUCAUUAGCUGAUAACAUGUUGUUAACUGUUCAUUGGUGUGAUAAUUAUCUACACCAUUGAUGUGAAGCAAGGGUUCAGCUUCUAACAGUCCAUUGACUUGGACAAAUUUAUUAAAUGUGACCUCAAAUCAGGUAGGACUACCCGCUGAACUUAAGCAUAUCAAUAAGCGGAGGAAAAGAAACUAACAAGGAUUCCCCUAGUAACUGCGAGUGAAGCGGGAAAAGCUCAAAUUUAAAAUCUGGCAGUCUUUGGCUGUCCGAGUUGUAAUCUAGAGAAGUGUUAUCCGCGCUGGACCGUGUACAAGUCUCCUGGAAUGGAGCGUCAUAGAGGGUGAGAAUCCCGUCUUUGACACGGACUGCCAGGGCUUUUGUGAUGUGCUCUCAAAGAGUCGAGUUGUUUGGGAAUGCAGCUCAAAAUGGGUGGUAAAUUCCAUCUAAAGCUAAAUAUUGGCGAGAGACCGAUAGCGAACAAGUACCGUGAGGGAAAGAUGAAAAGAACUUUGGAAAGAGAGUUAAACAGUACGUGAAAUUGCUGAAAGGGAAACGCUUGAAGUCAGUCACGUUGUCCAGGGAUCAACUCUUGCUUUUGCUUGGUGUACUUUCUGGUUAACGGGUCAGCAUCAAUUCUGACUAUUGGAAAAAGAUCAGGGGAAUGUGGCAUCUUUGGAUGUGUUAUAACCCUUGGUUGCAUACAUUAGUUGAGAUUGAGGAACUCAGCAUUCCGCAAGGCCGAGUUUUUUUAAACUACGUUACAUGCUUAGGAUGUGGCAUAA
rnacentral:rRNA from 1 species